rnacentral:misc_RNA from 1 species
UUACUACACUGUUCUGAAACACUUCGAUCAGAAAUCCCAAUCGUCCUUAUCUGAAACUUGAUCUUCAUCGCGGAAGACCUCUAGGCUCUAGCAUAAUCGUAUGACGGCAGGCGGUGGCAGCGGUGGUGGUGGUGGUGCCGGUGGAGUCACCUCCGGCAAAAAACGACAACGUUCUGGUAGCUAUAGUCGACUUUCCUCUACUGUAGGGAUCAUCGACUCUUCUCGUCCUGAUAAUACCCUAACGGAACGCACACAGAAGACAUCAGGUAUUCGCCGCACAGCUUCUCAAGCGUUUAUUGCACCGUCGUCCUCCGCUGCUGUUAGCCGCGGAUUCAACGAUUCAGCCACGGCUGACGUCGUGCUUCGUCUCUUUGUCGAUCAAUUGCCGCUGUUCGAUACCGAUGACUCCGAAUCCAUUUCAGCCGUCGAUUCUGAUCAAUCCGAUGUCCAGAUCUAUCUCCAUUCCGAUGUUCUCUGCCGUUCUAAGUACUUCGCUACUCUCUUAUCCGACCGCUGGCAAAAGGAAUCAAACGACGUCGAUUCCGGGAAUUCUUUAAGGAUGUUCCGACUCAAUCUCGGCGUUCCCGCUACUCCUGGAUCAAUCGAUCAUCAUUUGGCUGUUCUUCAGCUUCUAUAUACCAAUGACUUCUCGACAACUAUCCACAAUGUUUCGGUAGCGUUGUGUUUACUUCCGGUGGCUUUGGAAUUAAUAUUCGAAGAUUGCAUUAAGGCUUGUGUUCGGUUCCUUGAGGCCGUACCGUGGACUGAAGAUGAAGAAAGGAAAAUACUCAGUAUAGUUCCCUUGCUAGGCAAGGAGGAGUCUCAAGAGCUUCUCGCUAGGGUCUCAAUUGACAAAAUUGAUACGUCCGAACAAAUGCUUCAUGGAUUGAUAUUAUCAGCACUUCAUAACCAUCCUAACACGGCAUUCGCUAAGGCAUUUGUAGCUAAGCUGUUGAGGGACUUUUCGUCCAAAGAGGCAGCAAAGAGAGUGUUGGACCGUGCCUUUCAGAGUAGCUUGAAGAUUGUGAAGGAGUCGUUGGAGGAGUACUCAAGUCCUGAUUUUAGAGGUGAUCACAAUGAGAUUGAGGCAAUUCAGAGGCUGAAUUUGCAUACUGCAAUGACAAAUGGGAGGCAUUUGGUGUGGUUGGUGGAGAGGAUGAUUGAACUGA